GUUUAGCGUAGAAAAUAGAGUAGGGUUGGAGAUGCCCUCGUCCAAUCCAAUCCAAUCCAAUCCAUAAAUAAAUCCUGAAACUUUUCAAUUUGUUAAAUUCACGACUUGUUUUCUUAGAAAAUUAAUUUGGAAUCUGGGGUGCCAUCUUUGGCUUAUGUGAAACGACGCUGUGUUGUUGAUUUUGAGGUGUUGUCCAUGGCGAAGGCUGCAGCUGUUGUCAAUCUCCUUUAGGCCAAGAACAUACUCUUGUCGUUUUUAAUCACCCAAGUGAUAUUGAUUGGUUUGUUGGAUGGAUAUGGAUUCCCGCUCAGAGGUCAGGUUGCUUGGGAAGCGCAUUAGCUGCCAGUGUGUGAAUCUAUUAGGUUUACUGCUGUGCUUGAUAGAUUUAAAGAAAGUAGUAAUCGUUAAAUCUAUGCUCUAAGUUAAAAACCUUGAUAAUUGGUUUUGGGGUGAGAAAAAGAUAUCCUAAGGUCUCCUCUCCUUUCAGUCGAGAUUCCUUUUGGUUCCUCUGUGACAUACUCUAAAGUAUUCUUAAGCAUAGAAUUGGCCCACACAUACAGGUCAUAGGCUGGUCAGUGUGGUUCUCAGAGUAUCUGUUUCUGGAAAGAAAUUGGGCGGAGGAUGAAAGCACUUUAAA